GUCCCAAUAGCUUAAGAUAAAGCACUGUUCUUGUAAACCAGCGUUGGAGAAAUCCUUGGGAC
rnacentral:tRNA from 1 species